rnacentral:rRNA from 1 species
AGAGUUUGAUCCUGGCUCAGAACGAACGCUGGCGGCGUGGCUAAGACAUGCAAGUCGAACGGACUGCUCAAUUUAUUGGUCAGUUAGUGGCGAAAGGGUUAGUAACGGGUAGGUAACGUACCCUGUGCUUUGGGAUAGCGUCGGUUGCUUCGGCAACCUUUCCGAAAGGGGCGGUAAUACCAAAUAAUAUCAUCUGUCGACAGGCAGAUGAUCAAAGAUUUAUCGGCAUAGGAGCGGCCUGCCUCCUAUCAGCUUGUUGGUGAGGUAACGGCUCACCAAGGCAGCGACGGGUAGCGGGACUGAGAGGUUGGCCCGCAACAUCGGGACUGAGACACUGCCCGGACCUCCACGGAGGGCUGCAGUAACGAAUAUUGUGCAAUGGGCGAAAGCCUGACACAGCGACGCCGCGUGUAGGAUGAAGUCUUUCGGGAUGUAAACUACUGUCAGGGGGAAGAAAGUGCGCUUCGGCGCANUGA